rnacentral:rRNA from 1 species
GACGAACGCUGGCGGCGUGCCUAAUACAUGCAAGUAGAACGCUGAAGGAGGAGCUUGCUUCUCUGGAUGAGUUGCGAACGGGUGAGUAACGCGUAGGUAACCUGCCUGGUAGCGGGGGAUAACUAUUGGAAACGAUAGCUAAUACCGCAUAAGAGUAGAUGUUGCAUGACAUUUGCUUAAAAGGUGCAAUUGCAUCACUACCAGAUGGACCUGCGUUGUAUUAGCUAGUUGGUGGGGUAACGGCUCACCAAGGCGACGAUACAUAGCCGACCAGAGAGGGUGAUCGGCCACACUGGGACUGGGACACGGCCCAGACGCCUACGGGAGGCAGCAGUAGGGAAUCUUCGGCAAUGGACGGAAGUCUGACCGAGCAACGCCGCGUGAGUGAAGAAGGUUUUCGGAUCGUAAAGCUCUGUUGUAAGAGAAGAACGAGUGUGAGAGUGGAAAGUUCACACUGUGACGGUAUCUGACCAGAAAGGGACGGCUAACUACGUG